rnacentral:rRNA from 1 species
GCGGCUCAACCGCGAAAAUGCGAGGGAAACGGAAUAGCUUGAGGAUGCGAGGGGUGAAUGGAACUCAUGGAGUAGGGGUGAAAUCCGUUGAUAUCAUGGGGAACACCAAAAGCGAAGGCACUUCACUGGCGCACUCCUGACGCUGAAACACGAAAGCGUAGGUAGCGAAUGGGAUUAGAUACCCCAGUAGUCUACGCCCUAAACGAUGAUCGCUGGUUUUGGGAAGUAUCGACCCUUUCCGAGACGAAGCUAACGCGUUAAGCGAUCCGCCUGGGUAGUACGAGCGCAAGCUUAAAACUCAAAGGAAUAGACGGGGACUUGCACAAGCGGUGGAUCAAGUGGCUUAAUUCGACAACAAACGAAGAACCUUACCAGGACUUGAAGCUCAACUGAAUCCGAGAAGAAAUUUUCGGAGCCUCACAAGGGCAGUUGGACAGGUGAUGCAUGGCCGUCGUCAGUUCGUGGCUUGAGUUGUUCCCUUCAGUGGGGAAACGAACGCAACCCCUAUCGUCUGUUAUACGUGUCAGGCGAGACCGCCGCGUAAGUUGGAGGAAGGUGGGGAUGACGCCAGGUCAGCAUGUCCCUCUGAUGUCCUGGGCUGCACACGCGCUACAAUCGCCGUUACAACGAGGCGCAAUGGGGUAACCCGGAGCAAAUCUUUCAAAAGCGGCCUCAGUUCGGAUUGAGGGCUGCAACUCGACCUCAUGAAGUCGGAAUCGCUAGUAAUCGCGGGUCAGAUAUACCGCGGUGAAUACGUUCCCAAGUCUUGUACUCACCGCCCGUCACGUCAAGGGAGCCGGGAGCACCCGAUGCCCAAGCCUAGCUUGGUCCAAGGUGAAUUCGGUGACAGGGACGAAGUCGUAACAAGGCACGGGUAGCGGAAGCUGCUCGUGGAACAAUUUCUAA